rnacentral:rRNA from 1 species
GACGAACGCUGGCGGCGUGCCUAAUACAUGCAAGUCGAGCGAAGUUUUUCUGGUGCUUGCACUAGAAAAACUUAGCGGCGAACGGGUGAGUAACACGUAAAGAACCUGCCUCAUAGACUGGGACAACUAUUGGAAACGAUAGCUAAUACCGGAUAACAGCAUUAACUGCAUGGUUGAUGUUUAAAAGUUGGUUAUGCUAACACUAUGAGAUGGCUUUGCGGUGCAUUAGCUAGUUGGUGGGGUAAAGGCCUACCAAGGCGACGAUGCAUAGCCGACCUGAGAGGGUGAUCGGCCACACUGGGACUGAGACACGGCCCAGACUCCUACGGGAGGCAGCAGUAGGGAAUCUUCCGCAAUGGGCGAAAGCCUGACGGAGCAACGCCGCGUGAGUGAAGAAGGAUUUCGGUUCGUAAAGCUCUGUUGUUAGGGAAGAAUGAUUGUGUAGUAACUAUACACAGUAGAGACGGUACCUAACCAGAAAGCCACGGCUAACUACGUGCCAGCAGCCGCGGUAAUACGUAGGUGGCAAGCGUUGUCCGGAAUUAUUGGGCGUAAAGCGCGCGCAGGUGGUUUAAUAAGUCUGAUGUGAAAGCCCACGGCUCAACCGUGGAGGGUCAUUGGAAACUGUUAAACUUGAGUGCAGGAGAGAAAAGUGGAAUUCCUAGUGUAGCGGUGAAAUGCGUAGAGAUUAGGAGGAACACCAGUGGCGAAGGUGGCUUUUUGGCCUGUAACUGACACUGAGGCGCGAAAGCGUGGGGAGCAAACAGG